GUACGGAAGGCAGCAGUGGGGAAUUUUCCGCAAUGGGCGAAAGCCUGACGGAGCAAUACCGCGUGAGGGAAGACGGCCUAUGGGUUGUAAACCUCUUUUUUCAGGGAGGAAUGCAAUGACGUGUACCUGAAGAAUAAGCAUCGCCUAACUCCGUGCCAGCAGCCGCGGUAAGACGGAGGAUGCAAGUGUUAUCCGGAAUUACUGGGCGUAAAGCGUCUGUAGGUGGUUGAAUAAGUCAACUGUUAAAUCUUGAGGCUCAACUUCAAAAUCGCAGUCGAAACUGUUUGACUAGAGUAUAGUAGGGGUAAAGGGAAUUUCCAGUGGAGCGGUGAAAUGCGUAGAUAUUGGAAAGAACACCGAUGGCGAAGGCACUUUACUGGGCUAUUACUGACACUCAGAGACGAAAGCUAGGGUAGCAAAUGGGAUUAGAUACCCUGGUAGUC
rnacentral:rRNA from 1 species